rnacentral:rRNA from 1 species
UACGAGGAGAGCAAGCGUUAUCCGGAUUCAUUGGGCGUAAAGCGUGCGCAGGCGGUUCGCUGUGUCCGAUGUGAAAGCCCCGGGCUCAACCUGGGAAUGGCAGUGGAAACUAGGGGACUUGAAUCUGGCAGAGGGGGGUGGAAUUCCACGUGUAGCAGUGAAAUGCGUAGAGAUGUGGAGGAACACCGAUGGCGAAGGCAGCCCCCUGGGCUGAGAUUGACGCUCAGGCACGAAAGCGUGGGGAGCAAACAGG